AGAGUUUGAUCCUGGCUCAGAUUGAACGCUGCGGUACGCUUAACACAUGCAAGUCGAACGGUAGCAGGAACUAGUUUACUAGUUUGCUGACGAGUGGCGGGCGGGUGAGUAACGCGUAGGAAUCUGCCUUAGAGUGGGGAAUAACCCGGGGAAACCCGGGCUAAUACCGCAUACCUUCUACGGAAGAAAGCUGGGGAUCCUUCGGGACCUGGUGCUCUAAGAGGAGCCUGCGUCGGAUUAGCUAGUUGGUGGGGUAAAGGCCUACCAAGGCAACGAUCCGUAACUGGUCUGAGAGGAUGACCAGUCACACUGGGACUGAGACACGGCCCAGACUCCUACGGGAGGCAGCAGUGGGGAAUAUUGGACAAUGGGCGCAAGCCUGAUCCAGCGAUACCGCGUGUGUGAAGAAGGCCUGCGGGUUGUAAAGCACUUUCAGUGGGGAGGAAAUGGUUGUUGCUAAUACCAACAACAGUUGACGCUACCCAAAGAAGAAGCACCGGCUAACUCUGUGCCAGCAGCCGCGGUAAUACAGAGGGUGCAAGCGUUAAUCGGAAUUACUGGGCGUAAAGGGUGCGUAGGUGGCAAUUUAAGUUGGGUGUGAAAGCCCCAGGCUUAACCUGGGAACUGCAUCCAAAACUAAAUAGCUAGAGUAGGAUAGAGGGAAGUGGAAUUUCCGGUGUAGCGGUGAAAUGCGUAGAUAUCGGAAGGAACAUCAGUGGCGAAGGCGGCUUCCUGGAUCCAUACUGACACUGAGGCACGAAAGCGUGGGGAGCAAACAUGAUUAGAUACCCUGGUAGUCCACGCCGUAAACGAUGAGAACUAGAGGCUGGUAUAAUUUAUAUCAGUCUCGUAGCUAACGCGAUAAGUUCUCCGCCUGGGGAGUACGGCCGCAAGGCUAAAACUCAAAGGAAUUGACGGGGGCCCGCACAAGCGGUGGAGCAUGUGGUUUAAUUCGAUGCAACGCGAAAAACCUUACCUACCCUUGACAUCCUUGGAAUCUUGCAGAGAUGCGAGAGUGCCUUCGGGAACCAAGUGACAGGUGCUGCAUGGCUGUCGUCAGCUCGUGUCGUGAGAUGUUGGGUUAAGUCCCGUAACGAGCGCAACCCUUGUGCCUAGUUACCAGCGCGUUAUGGCGGGUACUCUAGGGAGACUGCCGGUGAUAAACCGGAGGAAGGCGGGGACGACGUCAAGUCAUCAUGGUCCUUAUGGGUAGGGCUACACACGUGCUACAAUGGGCAGUACAAAGGGUCGCCAAGCCGUGAGGUGGAGCUAAUCCCAAAAAGCUGCUCGUAGUCCAGAUUGAAGUCUGCAACUCGACAUCAUGAAGUUGGAAUCGCUAGUAAUCGCGAAUCAGAAUGUCGCGGUGAAUACGUUCUCGGGCCUUGUACACACCGCCCGUCACACCAUGGGAGUUGGCGGCACCAGAAGUAAGUAGCUUAACCUUUGGGGGGGCGCUUACCACGGUGCGGUCAAUGACUGGGGUGAAGUCGUAACAAGGUA
rnacentral:rRNA from 1 species